rnacentral:rRNA from 1 species
AGUAUUAGUUAAUUUCUUGAAACCUAAAGAAUUUGGCGGCAUUUUAUUCUAGUCAGAGGAACCUACUACGUAAUUGAUAAUACACGAUUUGUAAUACUUAGUUUUUGUUUGUAUAUCUCCGUUAUCAGAAGAUCUUUUUAGAGGUUAAUAAUUUUCUUGAUUUUUAAUUGAAUUUUAUUGCAGGUCAAGGGGCAGUAUAUGGCUAAGAGUGGGUGGGUUACAUUAUAUUUAUAUUUUUAACAGUUUUUUUUUAUGAAAAUAUUUAUUUAAGUUGGAUUUGACAGUAAUUUGUUUUACUUUUUACAUUUGAUAUUAGUUCUAAAAUGUGU